rnacentral:rRNA from 1 species
CCUACGGGUGGCAGCAGUGGGGAAUAUUGCACAAUGGGGGAAACCCUGAUGCAGCAACGCCGCGUGAAGGAAGACGGUUUUCGGAUUGGAAACUUCUGUUCUUAGAGAAGAAUAAUGACGGUAGCUAAGGAGCAAGCCACGGCUAACUACGUGCCAGCAGCCGCGGUAAUACGUAGGUGGCAAGCGUUGUCCGGAAUGACUGGGUGUAAAGGGAGCGCAGGUGGGAAGCGAAGUCAGCUGUGAAAACUACGGGCUUAACUUGUAGACUGCAGUUGAAACUGGUAUUCUUGAGUGGGCGUGAAGUAUGCGGAAUGCGUGGUGUAGCGGUGAAAUGCUUAGAUAUCACGCAGAACUCCGAUUGCGAAGGCAGCAUAC